rnacentral:lncRNA from 1 species
CUUUAGUCACACAACCGGCGAGAUAGGGGGACGGAUCGUGAACUGAUUUUGCAUUAACUGCAAAUUCGUGAAUCUUGUUGGAUGAAUUCACGAAUUGGUUGACAGAUCCAUUCAGAUCAACUACAAACUGCCACACGUAUAGCUCACAGUGGGUGUAGUUAUGCCAUAUUGUUACCUAGCUUGCGAAUGGAAUAAAAAUCAAGUUAGUGUUGGUGGGAGCGCUUGAACGCGAGAUCUACCUCUUGGAAUUAUAAGUACUUACCCACUGUGCUGCC